rnacentral:rRNA from 1 species
UCAAGCUAAAAAGAGCGCAGGGUGGAUGCCUUGGCACUAAGAGCCGAUGAAAGACGUGAUAAGCUGCGAUAAGCUACGGGGAGGAGCACAUAUCCAUUGAUCCGUAGAUUUCUGAAUGGGGAAACCCGGCUGAGCAUACCUCAGUCACCGUGCACUGAAUCCAUAGGUGUACGGAGGGAACCCGGUGAACUGAAACAUCUAAGUAGCCGGAGGAAGAGAAAGAAAACUCGAUUUUCAAAGUAGCGGCGAGCGAAAUGGAAAGAGCCCAAACCGGAGUGCGUGCACUCCGGGGUUCGGACUGCAUUUAUGACUUCUGACUGUAGCGGAACGGUUCUGGAAAGACCGGCCAGAGAGGGUGAGAGCCCCGUAGGCGAAACGGAAAGAAGCAGAGCAGGAUCCAGAGUACCACGAGACACGAGAAACCUUGUGGGAAUGAGCGGGGACCACCCCGUAAGGCUAAAUACUCCUUAGUGACCGAUAGAGCAGAGUACUGUGAAGGAAAGGUGAAAAGGACCCCGGGAGGGGAGUGAAAGAGAACCUGAAACCCUGUGUUUACAAACUGUGGAAGUACCAUACGAGUACAACCGCGUACUUUUUGUAGAACGGUCCGGCGAGUUACGUUUACUGGCGAGGUUAAGCACUUAAGGUGCGGAGCCGAAGGGAUACCAAGUCUUAACAGGGCGUAAAGUCAGUGUACGUAGACCCGAAACCGGGUGAUCUACCCAUGUCCAGGCUGAAGUUGCCGUAAAAGGCAAUGGAGGGCCGAACGCACAUCCGUUGAAAAGGGUGGCGAUGAGGUGUGGGUAGGGGAGAAAUUCCAAUCGAACCCGGAGAUAGCUGGUUCUCCUCGAAAUAGCUUUAGGGCUAGCCUCGUGUUAACCUUGUGGAGGUAGAGCACUGAAUAUCCUAGGGGGCGUCAAAGUCUACCGAAGAUUAUCAAACUCCGAAUGCCAUAAAGGUGAUGCACGGGAGUCAGACUGCACGAGAUAAGUUGGGUGGUCAAAAGGGAAAGAGCCCAGACCUACAGCUAAGGUCCCAAAGUGCGUGUUAAGUGGAAAAGGAUGUGGGAUUUCGAAGACAACUAGGAUGUUGGCUCAGAAGCAGCCAUACAUUCAAAGAGUGCGUAAUAGCUCACUAGUCGAGAGGUCCUGCGCCGAAAAUGUCCGGGGCUAAAACACGACACCGAAGCUUAGGACUCCUUUAAGGAGUGGUAGAGGAGCAUUGUUAGCGCAGCGAAGCUGUACCGAUAAGGAGCAGUGGAGUGCUAAGAAGAGAGAAUGCCGGAAUGAGUAGCGAGAGGAAGGUGAGAAUCCUUCCGGCCGAAUAUCCAAGGUUUCCAGAGUAAAGCUGAUCUGCUCUGGGUAAGUCGGGGCCUAAGGCGAGGUCGAAAGACGUAGUCGAUGGAUAACAGGUGGAGAUUCCUGUACUAUGUGUACCCAGAACUGUGGGGACGCAUGUGGAGAGCAUGAGCCGGGAAAGAGAAAACCGGUACAAGCGGGGUAGGAGUAAGGACAGCAAAUCUUCCUUACAAUCCGAAGACGUAAUGUGGACCGAACUAGAGUAGGGAAGCAUGUGAGCCAUGUGCCAAGAAAAGCCGCUAUUGUGAUACACAUACCCGUACCGUAAACCGACACAGGUGGAUGAGGAGAGAAUCCUAAGGCCGACGGAAGAAGCAUUGUUAAGGAACUCGGCAAAAUGACCCCGUAACUUCGGGAGAAGGGGUGCCCUGUGAAAGCAGGGCCGCAGAGAAUAGGCUCAAGCAACUGUUUAGCAAAAACACAGGUCUAUGCGAAACCGAAAGGUGAGGUAUAUGGGCUGACGCCUGCCCGGUGCUGGAAGGUUAAGAGGAGAAGUCAGGCAACGAAGCUUCGAAUUUAAGCCCCAGUAAACGGCGGCCGUAACUAUAACGGUCCUAAGGUAGCGAAAUUCCUUGUCGGGUAAGUUCCGACCCGCACGAAAGGCGUAAUGAUUUGAGCACUGUCUCGACAAUGCAUCCG